rnacentral:rRNA from 1 species
GCAUGCAAGUCGAACGGUAGUAGGGUGCUUGCACCCUAUGAGAGUGGCGAACGGGUGAGUAACACGUAGGUAAUCUACCUUGAAGUUGGGGAUAGCCUGUGGAAACACAGGGUAAUACCGAAUGUCCUUGCUUCGGUGAGGAAAGAGGCUAAGGCCUCGCUUUAAGAUGAGCCUGCGCCUCAUUAGCUAGUUGGUGGGGUAAAGGCCUACCAAGGCGACGAUGAGUAGCCGACCUGAGAGGGUGACCGGCCACACUGGGACUGAGACACGGCCCAGACUCCUACGGGAGGCAGCAGCUAAGAAUCUUCCGCAAUGGCCGAAAGGCUGACGGAGCGACGCCGCGUGGACGAAGAAGGCCGGAAGGUUGUAAAGUCCUUUUAUUGGAGAAGAAUAAUGCGGGGAGGGAAUGCCCUGCAGAUGACGUUAUCCUAUGAAUAAGCCCCGGCUAAUUACGUGCCAGCAGCCGCGGUAACACGUAAGGGGCAAGCGUUGUUCGGAAUUAUUGGGCGUAAAGGGCGCGUAGGCGGCUAUGAAAGUCUGGUGUGAAAGGCCACUGCUUAACAGUGGGAGUGCACUGGAAACUACAUGGCUAGAGUUCAAGAGGGGAAGCUGGAAUUCCUGGUGUAGGGGUGAAAUCUGUAGAUAUCAGGAAGAACACCUGUGGCGAAGGCGAGCUUCUGGCUAUGAACUGACGCUGAGGCGCGAAAGCGUGGGGAGCGAACAGGAUUAGAUACCCUGGUAGUCUACGCUGUAAACGAUGUGCACUAGGUGUUGGCUGUUGUAACGGCCAGUGCCGAAGCAAACGCGAUAAGUGCACCGCCUGGGGAGUAUGCUCGCAAGGGUGAAACUCAAAGGAAUUGACGGGGGCCCGCACAAGCGGUGGAGCAUGUGGUUUAAUUCGAUAUACGCGAGGAACCUUACCAGGGCUUGACAUAUGCAUGACGAUCAUAGAGAUAUGGUUUCCCUUCGGGGCGUGUAUACAGGUGCUGCAUGGUUGUCGUCAGCUCGUGCUGUGAGGUGUUGGGUUAAGUCCCGCAACGAGCGCAACCCCUGCUGUCUGUUACCAGCAUUUCGGAUGGGGACUCAGACGGUACUGCCGGUGACAAACCGGAGGAAGGUGGGGAUGACGUCAAAUCAUCAUGGCCCUUAUGUCCUGGGCUACACACGUGCUACAAUGGUUGGUACAGAGCGUUGCAAAACCGCGAGGUGGAGCGAAUCGCAGAAAGCCGGCCUCAGUACGGAUUGGAGUCUGAAACUCGACUUCAUGAAGUUGAAAUCGCUAGUAAUCGCGCAUCAGCAUGGCGCGGUGAAUACGUUCCCGGGCCUUGUACACACCGCCCGUCACACCACCCGAGUUGGGGGUACCCGAAGUCGCUCGUCUAACCG